rnacentral:rRNA from 1 species
UACGAGAGGCCCAAACGUUAUUCGGAAUUACUGGGCUUAAAGAGUUCGUAGGCGGCAUGAAAAGUAGGGUGUGAAAGCCCUCGGCUCAACCGAGGAAUUGCGCUCUAAACUGUCGUGCUCGAGGAAUCUAGAGGUGAGCGGAACUGAUGGUGGAGCGGUGAAAUGCGUUGAUAUCAUCAGGAACACCGGAGGCGAAGGCGGCUCACUGGGGAUUUUCUAACGCUGAGGAACGAAAGCCAGGGGAGCGAACGGG